CGCCUUUUGAACUAUAAACAUAAAAGGUCCUGCCUGCCCAGUGACACUUGUUUCAACGGCCGCGGUAUCAUGACCGUGCAAAGGUAGCGUAAUCACUUGUCUUUUAAAUAAAGACCGGUAUGAAUGGCAAGACGAAAGCCUAACUGUCUCCUUAAGCUAAUCAAUGAAAUUGAUCUUCCCGUGCAGAAGCGGGAAUAAUAAUAUAAGACGAGAAGACCCUGUGGAGCUUCAAAAUUAAGCUAACAGAUCAUAAUGCCUUAGCAUACAGUUUUGGGUUGGGGCGACCGUGAGGUAAAACACAACCCUCAAGACGAAAACUAAGAAGGACACUUCAAAUAAAUAACAAUAUAGUAAUUGACCCAAUAAUUGAUCAACGGACUAAGUUACCCCAGGGAUAACAGCGCAAUCUGCUCAAAGAGCCCUUAUCGACGAGCAGGUUUACGACCUCGAUGUUGGAUCAGGACUCCCAAAUAAUGUAACAAUUAUUAAAGGUUCGUUUGUUCAACGAUUAAAGUCCU
rnacentral:rRNA from 1 species